AGAUAGGCAUAAAGGUCAGGACUCUCUCUCAUGGGAUGAAGGGACAUACAGGCCUAAAGGCCAAACACCCCUACCCGGGUUACAUGCCUCUAUCUGGCCUCAAGGCCUUAUUUGACCUUUGUUGGCCGCCAUUUUGGGCUAUAUUCCGGUACACCAAAACGUGAAUAAAUCGAAAAGUACAUGUCCAAUCUGGAUGGGGUUUUUUUUAAACGAAAGGGCACACAUAGACGAGAAUUUACAUUUCAUUAAAACAGUUUUUGUAUAAAACCUUUUAAUAGGAAAUCGUGUUUUAAGUUUUGGGGAAAAGUGCAUGUUACUGGAAACAUAGGUGCCUGUGAGGGCAAUUUGUUUUUUACGUGCUCUACUUGUUGCCCAUUGAGAGAGAGGGUAUGAGACGAAAUUUGGGACCUCUAGCCCCUCGGGAAGUAUUUUUAAUCAUUUUUUGAAAAUUACCGAUUUUGGCAGGAAAAAUAAAUUACCGCGCAACUGGUAGCCUAAAAGACCCAUGUGCAUCGUGUAACCCAAAAA